UACGGAGGGGGCUAGCGUUAUUCGGAAUUACUGGGCGUAAAGCGUGCGCAGGCGGUUAUAUAAGACAGAUGUGAAAUCCCCGGGCUCAACCUGGGACCUGCAUUUGUGACUGUAUAGCUAGAGUACGGUAGAGGGGGAUGGAAUUCCGCGUGUAGCAGUGAAAUGCGUAGAUAUGCGGAGGAACACCGAUGGCGAAGGCAAUCCCCUGGACCUGUACUGACGCUCAUGCACGAAAGCGUGGGGAGCAAACAGG
rnacentral:rRNA from 1 species